AUGCUGACUGUUUUGCUUGCUCUUUUACCUGGUGUUGUGAUCGGAUACAUCUUCAUUGCACAGUGGCCAGAAGAAAUCUUUCAGAGAGUUGGAGACACUGUGAACAUCUCCUGCAACCAGAAAAACAGUGACCUUGCCUAUAUGUUCUGGUACCAGCAGCCUCCAAGAAAUGGUCUGAAGUUAAUAGUUAGUACUACUUCUUUGAGGGAGAAAUUUUAUGAGGACAGUUACACUGAGGCCAAGUUUGAGAUAAGCAGAAAGCAUACUUACACUGUGAUGACAAUCAAGAAUGUGACAUCCAAGGAUUCAGCCACGUAUUUCUGUGCUGCGAGAGAUCAGAAUACCGGUAAUAUGAUUUUUGGCGAUGGCACAAAACUUACAGUAAUAGAGAAGGAUAAGGAAAUCAUACCUCCAUCUGUGGCCAUCUUUUCCCCAUCAAAGCAGGAGAUCCAACAGAAGAACAAGGCCACACUGGUAUGCCUGGCCUCUGGUUUCUACCCUGACCAUCUCACUCUGGUCUGGAUGGUAAAUGAUGUUAAAAGGACAAAAGGAGUGGGGACGGAUGAAUUCUCCACACAGAAUGGGAGUACCUACUCACUGACCAGCCGACUGAGGAUCCCAGCCUGGGAAUGGUUCAACCCUUUGAAUAAUUUUGAGUGUGUUGCCAAAUUUUUUCAGAAUGGAAAAGAGAAAUCCAUACACAAAGUUAUCUCUGGUGAUGCUGGUUGUGCAGUUAGAGAAGACUCGUACUUGCGGUAUGGAAAUUCUGUGAAGCUCACUUACCUCAUUCUCUGUGGCAAAGCCUUGAUCUAUGCAGUUUUGGCGAGCAGUAUGGUGUGGAGAGCCAAGGUAGGUGGCAAGUUGUAUAAAGAAUGAAUGAAGACCCCUCUUCAUCACAUCAGCAGGAACACAAGUUAUACCUCUACCUUUCCAUGGCAAAGGAUCUAUGCUUCUAAGAAUUUCUAAAUAUUUUUGAUGGCUUUUUGUCCCACUUCUGUUCUCCACUUUUUUGUACUCACUAUUGGAUUUUUCCUGUGCUUCUAGAUUGUAUAUUAUCAUAGUGUAUUGUCUCAUAUGUUUAAAACUAGCACCUUUUUAAUGCUCAAAGGCUGAGAACUCAGCUCCUUGAUUUAGGAAUAAAGUUUUAGCUCUUUUUUCCA